GAUAUGGUGGCCGAGUGGUUAAGGCGUGGCGUCCAGGUUGCCAUGGGCAUUGCCCGCGCAGGUUCGAACCCUGUCCAUGUCG
rnacentral:tRNA from 2 species